rnacentral:lncRNA from 1 species
CUGGAACUAACUCUGUAGACCAGGCUGGCCUCGAAUUUACAGACACCCACCUGCUUCUGCCUCCCCAGUGCUGGGAUUGAAGAGGGGGAGACUGGACAAUACACGUAUAAGCAAGAUCACUUCAGACAAUGGUAGGUAUAACAGGUUGAAUGUUCUCUGCCUAGAAGACACUGAAUGUGGUUUGGAAAUCAUAUCUGUGCACUGGAUUGAGUUUUAGUGAGUGCAUCAGGUUGAGCCCUGUAGUGGUUGAACAAGAAUGGCCCCCAGAGGCUCAUAUAUUUGAAUGCUUAGUCAUUAGGGAGUGGCACUACUUGAGAAGGAUUAGGAGGUGUGGCUUUGAUGGAGUAGGUGUGCCACUAGGGCUAGGCUUUGAUGUUUCAAAAGCCCAAGUCAGUCCCAGUAUCUCCCUCUUCCUGCUGCCUUGGGAUCCAGAUGUGGAACUCUCAGCUACUUCUCCAGCGCCGUGUCUGCCUGCAUGCUGCCAUACUCUCCACCAUGAGGACAGUGGACUAAACCUCUGAAACGGUGAGCCAGUCCCCCUGAAAUGAUUUAUUUUAUGUGAAUUGCUGUGGUCAUGGUGUCUCUUCACAGCAACCGGACACUGACUAACACAAUCCCUAAUCCAAUAUGGAAGUUCUCCGAAGCUAGAUGUUUCCCUUCAGCCUUCAGAGGGAGCACUGAUCCUGCUGGAACCCUUGUUUUGGACUUAUGGCCACCACAAGUAUGAGACAGAGAAUGAAAACAUCCAAGUAAGGAAUCUAGAGACCCCUGGGCAAGUGAAACUUCUGAAGAAAAAUAAUGGAUCAUCAAGAGACAAUGUCCCAAGAAAAAUAGUCAAUUGGACAAGUGGUUUCACCCACCUCCGGCUGACAGGCCUGAAAUGCCUGCUCAGAGCCCCAGGCUAGUGCCUUCCAGGUUCUGUGCAAAUUGUGGACACCUUUGGCUUGACUGCUGUGUUCUACUGAAGGGACCAGCUCCCCAUUUCGGCAGCCAUAACAGCCGAACAUGUGCUUGUCUGACCUUGUCUUAAUCACUAGGAAGUCAGAUGCCUGCCUCGUGGCAAGGAACCAAUCAGAAGUUAGGUGGUGGUGCUAUGCUUUACGACUCUGG